AGUGAACGCUGGCGGUAGGCCUAACACAUGCAAGUCGAACGGCAGCACAGUAAGAGCUUGCUCUUACGGGUGGCGAGUGGCGGACGGGUGAGGAAUACAUCGGAAUCUACUUUUUCGUGGGGGAUAACGUAGGGAAACUUACGCUAAUACCGCAUACGACCUACGGGUGAAAGCAGGGGAUCUUCGGACCUUGCGCGAUUGAAUGAGCCGAUGUCGGAUUAGCUAGUUGGCGGGGUAAAGGCCCACCAAGGCGACGAUCCGCAGCUGGUCUGAGAGGAUGAUCAGCCACACUGGAACUGAGACACGGUCCAGACUCCUACGGGAGGCAGCAGUGGGGAAUAUUGGACAAUGGGCGCAAGCCUGAUCCAGCCAUACCGCAUGGGUGAAGAAGGCCUUCGGGUUGUAAAGCCCUUUUGUUGGGAAAGAAAAGCAGCAGGUUAAUACCCCGCUGUUCUGACGGUACCCAAAGAAUAAGCACCGGCUAACUUCGUG
rnacentral:rRNA from 1 species